rnacentral:rRNA from 1 species
ACGGAAGGCAGCAGUGAGGAAUAUUGGUCAAUGGACGGAAGUCUGAACCAGCCAAGUCGCGUGAAGGAUGAAGGUUCUAUGGAUUGUAAACUUCUUUUGCCCGAGGGUAAAGUGAGGGACGUGUCCCUUAUUGCAAGUAUCGGGUGAAUAAGCAUCGGCUAACUCCGUGCCAGCAGCCGCGGUAAUACGGAGGAUGCGAGCGUUAUCCGGAUUUAUUGGGUUUAAAGGGUGCGUAGGCGGUUUGUUAAGUCAGUGGUAAAAGCGUGUGGCUCAACCAUACCAAGCCAUUGAAACUGGCGAACUUGAGUGUAAACGAGGUAGGCGGAAUAUGACAUGUAGCGGUGAAAUGCUUAGAUAUGUCAUAGAACUCCGAUUGCGAAGGCAGCUUACCAGCAUACAACUGACGCUGAGGCACGAAAGCGUGGGUAUCAAACAGGAUUAGAUACCCUGGUA